GACGAACGCUGGCGGCGCGCCUAACACAUGCAAGUCGAGCGAGAACCAGGGCUUCGGCCCUGGGGAAAGCGGCGAACGGGUGAGUAACACGUGGGUAACCUGCCCUCGGCACCGGGAUAGCCCGAGGAAACUCGGAUUAAUACCGGACAGCCUCAUGAGCCCUCGGGCGAAUGAGAAAAGGUGGCUUCGGCUUCCGGCUGAGGAUGGGCCCGCGUCCGAUUAGCUUGUUGGUGGGGUAAUGGCUCACCAAGGCCUCCGAUCGGUAGCUGGUCUGAGAGGACGAUCAGCCACACUGGGACUGAGACACGGCCCAGACUCCUACGGGAGGCAGCAGUGGGAAUCUUGCGCAAUGGGCGAAAGCCUGACGCAGCGACGCCGCGUGCGGAAG
rnacentral:rRNA from 1 species